GUUCAAUAAACUUAGUCAUUUCUUCUCGAUCAUACGGAGCUAAUUUCAUCCUUGUGAGCUUUACCUUAUGGGGAAGAUUCGGGACAACGAAAGGUUCUGUAUCCGAACACACAUUCUUCUGAGGCUUGUAAUGCCUAAGGUUCUCCAAAGCACAAAGCGCAAAGAAGCCCAUCCCAUGAAAUACCAAUCUUGGGAUAUCAAAUUUGGCAGCAGAUUCUGUAGCCCAGGGGAAGAACAUGUCAGCAACGAGAGCGUUGGGUUGACAUUCAUGGAGUAAUAGCUCUAGUUGUUGUUGAAGCAUGGUGGUGGCCUUGAAGAAUUUGGGUACCAAAUCAUCAGAAGUCAAUUGAUCCAUUCUUUCACAUCCUUCAGGCAAACCAGCUUCCACUGCUGGGAAUCUGAUAGCUUUGACAUAAAUUUCCAGCCCCAAAUGUUUGAUUUUUUCACUGGAUUGAACGAAGAUGGGUAAGUUCAGAGGAGUGGUGAUAAUAGUUGCCUUUGCACCAUGUGAAACGAACAACUUCGCCAUAUCCAAAGUAGGAAUUAUGUGGCCGUGCGCCAUCAAUGGAAAGAAAAAAAUAUGGAGCUGAUCAUCAGCCAUUUUCACAAACACUUGGUCUGCGUGGUUUAAUAUAACAAUUUGUGCUAUAAAUGUACAGAGGAUUUG
rnacentral:misc_RNA from 1 species